rnacentral:rRNA from 1 species
CGCUAACCGGUGAGAAUGCCCUUAAAAACUAUAUAAAGUUAAAAGGAGCUGGUAUCAGGCACACCCCCUAGGUAGCCCAUUACACCUUGCUUAACCACACCCCCCCGGGAUACAGCAGUGACUAACAUUAAGCCAUAAACGAAAGUUUGACUGAGUCAUAAUUUAUAGGGUUGGUAAAUUUCGUGCCAGCCACCGCGGUCAUACGAUUAACCCAAAUUAACAGACCACCGGCGUAAAGCGUGUUUAAGUAUAAUACUCUAAUAAAGUUAAAACCUAACUAAACUGUAAAACGUUAUAGUUAGUACCAAAAUAUGCAACUAAAGUGACUUUAAUCUACACUGAACACACGAUAGCUAAGACACAAACUGGGAUUAGAUACCCCACUAUGCUUAGCCCUAAACCCAAAUAGUUAAAAAACAAAACUAUUCGCCAGGGAACUACUAGCUAAUGCUUAAAACUCAAAGGACUUGGCGGUGCCCUAAACCCACCUAGAGGAGCCUGUUCUAUAAUCGAUAAACCCCGAUAAACCCCACCUCUUCUUGCCAAUACAGCCUAUAUACCGCCAUCGUCAGCUCACCCCAAUAGGGACCCAAAGUAGGCAAAACUAUAUAAUCAUAAAAACGUUAGGUCAAGGUGUAGCAUAUGAAGAGGGAAGCAAUGGGCUACAUUUUCUAAACUAGAACAUAACGAAUGGCCUUAUGAAAUCUAAGACCUGAAGGAGGAUUUAGUAGUAAAUUAGGAGUAGAGAGCCUAAUUGAAAUA